ACGGGUGAGUAAUAUAUCGGAACGUACCCUGGAGUGGGGGAUAACGUAGCGAAAGUUACGCUAAUACCGCAUACGAUCUAAGGAUGAAAGUGGGGGAUCGCAAGACCUCAUGCUCCUGGAGCGGCCGAUAUCUGAUUAGCUAGUUGGUGGGGUAAAGGCCUACCAAGGCAUCGAUCAGUAGCUGGUCUGAGAGGACGACCAGCCACACUGGAACUGAGACACGGUCCAGACUCCUACGGGAGGCAGCAGUGGGGAAUUUUGGACAAUGGGCGCAAGCCUGAUCCAGCAAUGCCGCGUGAGUGAAGAAGGCCUUCGGGUUGUAAAGCUCUUUUGUCAGGGAAGAAACGGUGAAGGCUAAUAUCCUUUGCUAAUGACGGUACCUGAAGAAUAAGCACCGGCUAACUACGUGCCAGCAGCCGCGGUAAUACGUAGGGUGCAAGCGUUAAUCGGAAUUACUGGGCGUAAAGCGUGCGCAGGCGGUUUUGUAAGUCUGUCGUGAAAUCCCCGGGCUCAACCUGGGAAUUGCGAUGGAGACUGCAAGGCUAGAAUCUGGCAGAGGGGGGUAGAAUUCCACGU
rnacentral:rRNA from 1 species